GCAUCGGUGGUUUAGUGGUAAAAUUAGCCGUUGCCAUUCAUCUGUUCAAUUGAUACAAUUCAAUGGACAGCUUGAGCUGUUUCGGCUAGCCCCGGGUUCGAUUCCCGGCCGAUGCA